UACGGAGGAUGCAAGCGUUAUCCGGAAUGAUUGGGCGUAAAGCGUCCGCAGGUGGCAAUGUAAGUCUGCUGUUAAAGAGUCUAGCUCAACUAGAUAAAAGCAGUGGAAACUACAUAGCUAGAGUACGUUCGGGGCAGAGGGAAUUCCCGGUGUAGCGGUGAAAUGCGUAGAGAUCGGGAAGAACACCGGUGGCGAAAGCGUUCUGCUAGACCUGUACUGACACUGAGGGACGAGAGCUAGGGGAGCGAAUGGG
rnacentral:rRNA from 1 species